CUGAGGGUUAAUCCAGCCUCUGGUGGCUGUCUCAUUGACAGCUGCUAGAGGAGCUUCCGCGAUUCUCACUGUGAAAAUCACAGUGAGAAGACAGUGAACGUCCAUAGGAAAGCAUUGAGUAAUGCUUUCCUAUGGGUGGUUUAAAUGCGCGAGCGCGCCUCUUGCCGUGCAUGUGCAUUUCGGAGCUGAGUGGCGGACACUGGGGAGUCCGACGCUGGAGAAAGGUAAAUUCUGAAGACACACACACACACUCUCACGAACAGACGCAUACACACUAGCUAACAGACACACACAUUUACUGACAGAGACACACUCAGCGACAGACAUACAUACACACUCACUUACAAAACAUACACUUUCAC